CGUACACUCCUGCGGGAGGCAGCAGUGAGGAAUAUUGGACAAUGGGUGGAAGCCUGAUCCAGCCAUCCCGCGUGCAGGAAGACGGCCCUAUGGGUUGUAAACUGCUUUUAUCUGGGGAUAAACCUACUUACGUGUAAGUAGCUGAAGGUACCAGAAGAAUAAGCACCGGCUAACUCCGUGCCAGCAGCCGCGGUAAUACGGAGGGUGCAAGCGUUAUCCGGAUUUAUUGGGUUUAAAGGGUCCGUAGGCGGACUGAUAAGUCAGUGGUGAAAUCCGACAGCUUAACUGUCGAACUGCCAUUGAUACUGUUAGUCUUGAGUAAGGUUGAAGUGGCUGGAAUAAGUAGUGUAGCGGUGAAAUGCAUAGAUAUUACUUAGAACACCAAUUGCGAAGGCAGGUCACUAAGUCUUAACUGACGCUGAUGGACGAAAGCGUGGGGAGCGAACAGGAUUAGAAACCCGGGUAGUCCC
rnacentral:rRNA from 1 species